UGUCCUUCCUGCUCAUCCUCCCUGCGUGGGAGAGGUUCUGCCAAAAGGGUGACGUGGAUUGUCCCCUCCUCACCUCCCCAGAACUGCCACCAGCGUCCCCCCAGUGUGGGGAGCAGGACAGGACCAGCUCUGCCUGGGACGGGGCUCCUGGGGCACAGUGGGGUCACAGAGGGCCAGGACUGAAGGAGCCAGCAGAGAUUUCAGAGUGAAACCAGCCUGCAGAAGAAGGGAACAGCCAACAGCCAAACGCAGGAUCCAGGGCAGGGACACUCUGGGACUGGGGUCUCAGCCACACACAGCACCGCCCCACCAAGAACUCCACCAGCCCAGUUUCCACCCCUGUGAUUGGGGCCAGGAGUCAGGGAAAUCCCAAUCAGGGCCUUGUGGAGCAGCAGGGAAUUCUCCCAGAAGAUGCUGAGGACUGGCAGUGGCAGCAGGGGCUGACACAAACCAGGUGCUCCUUGUGCGUGACAGCCACAGGCGAUGGGCAAAGUCCGACAGCUGUGCCCAAAAUCCAGCCAGUCUGCUCCAAAUUCCAGCCAGUUCUGUCCAAAACUCAGCCAGUCUGCUACAAAAUAGUUACUCUGCUCCAAAACCCAGCCAACCUGCUCCCAAAUCCAAUCCCUCUGCUCCAACAUCCAGCUAGCCUGCUCCAAAAUCCAAUCCCUCUGCUCCCAAACCCAAUCCCUCUGCUCCCAAACCCAAUCCCUCUGCUCCAAAAUCCAAUCCCUCUGCUCCCAAACCCAAUCCCUCUGCUCCCAAAUCCAAUCCCUCUGCUCCAAAAUCCAAUCCCUCUGCUCCCAAUCCAAAUCCCUCUGCUCCCAAACCAAAUCCCUCUGCUCCCAGUUACCGCUGUCCCCCAGAACACAGCCAGGCAGCUCCGGUGGGAGCAGCUGCUGGCAGGGCCCUGACCCCAUUUCCCUUUGUUAGCCCUGCCCUUGGGAUCACAGAAUCAUGGAAUUGCUGAGGCUGGCAAGCCCCUGUGAGCCCCCUGAAUCCAGCCAGCACAGCCAAGGCCACCACUGACCCUGUCCCCAAGUGCCACAUCGGUGUGGUUGUCGCAUCCCCAAGUGCCACAUCGGUGUGGUUGUCACAUCCCCAAGUGCCACAUCAACGUGGCUGUCACAGCCCUCCAGGGGCAGCACUCCCCCCUGCCCUGAGCAGCUGUGCCAGGGCUGCACAGCCUUUCCCAGGAGCCUGUCCCACAGCCCUUCCCAGGAGUUUGUCCCACAGCCCUUCCCAGGAGUUUGUCCCACAGCCCUUCCCAGGAGUUUGUCCCUCAGCCCAUGGUGGCCUGUCCGUGGUCUGUCUGCGGUCUGUCCGUGGUCUGAGGCUGUGCCCCUCCUGCUGUGCCCCAUCCCCUGACCAGCCUCCCCCCGGUGCUGCCCUCAGCUUCUGCUGCCUGUGCCCCCAUUCUGGGGCCAGAGCAGCCUUCCCUCCCUUCCCAAGGCGAUCCUGGCUAUCCCAUUUUUAACCAUGGCCAGAGCAGCCUUCCCUCCCUUCCCGAGGCGAUCCUGGCUAUCCCAUUUUCAGCCGUGCCACAGGAGCCUUCCCUCCCUUCCCAAGGUGAUCCUGGCUAUCCCAUUUUCAGCCAUGGCCAGAGCAGCCUUCCCUCCCUUCCCGAGGUGAUCCUGGCUAUCCCAUUUUUAACAUGGCCAGAGCAGCCUUCCCUCCCUUCCCGAGGCGAUCCUGGCUAUCCCAUUUUUAACCAUGCCACAGGAGCCUUCCCUCCCUUCCCGAGGCGAUCCUGGCUAUCCCAUUUUCAGCCAUGCCAAAGGAACCUUCCAUCCCCUCCCGAGGCGAUCCUGGCUAUCCCAUUUUCAGCUGAGCCAAAGGAACCUUCCAUCCCUUCCAGAGGUGAUCCUGGCUAUCCCAUUUUCAGCCGUGGCACCUCCAGCCGAUGCCCUGAUGCGAGCAGCGCCCAGAGCUCGGUGCUCAGCUCCCCUCCACACGCAGCUGGCUGCCCUCCUGCUCCUGGGAGCGCUUCGGGAAGAGCUGGAGACGCGUUAGCUGCCCAGCAGGAGCACGGGCAGGGCCGGGACGGACAGAAGGAGCCGUUCCGGAGGCUGCAGCCCCGCCAGCUGUGGAAGCGCUUCCAGAAAACCGCUCUGCCCCUCUGCCAGGCCGCUCUGAUCCCAUGCUGUUGGGUCCCUGCUGACCUGCACCCCCUAAUCCGCGCACCUGAGCCAGCUGCUGACACCUGUGGGGUCCCCACCUGCACGGGCGAUGCUGCAGGUGAGGAGGUUUUAACCUGCCCUGCACGGGCGAUGCUGCAGGUGAGGAGCUGCGGAGCAGGGCAGGUUAAAACCUGGCGGAAUCAGCCACACAGACGGAUCCGGGCCCUCAGAGCCCCUGCACAGCCGUGCUCCAACAGAUGGAACAGCGGGAAGAUGUUUGCCAGAUCCACGGAGCCGCUUUGGCACCUAAACCUUCAACCUCGAGCUGUGCAACAACACAUGACAUCAUCACACCCCGGCCCCAUCCAUCAAAGGCGGAUAAAAAUAGGCGCACGCCGAGAGGGGCCUCCCGGCAGCGAGAGGGGAAGGGAGGCAGGGAGCGUCCCCCAGCCCCGGCACCCCCCAGCCCCACGGAGCCAGCUCGGGGUCAGGGCUGGGGGUCCCAGCUCCUCCCGGGGUGACGGUCCCACUGUGCCCCCAACCCUGCAGAGCUGCCAGAAGGGAUAAAAGCAGACUGACCUCCCGACAGGGGCUUGGGAGCGCCCAUGGGUGCUGCCAGCUCGCAGUCAGAGCAUCUUCAGGGGGAUCCCUAGCUGGGACCCGGGUUAAAUGACACCAGGAGCUGCAGGAGGGGUGCACAUCCCUGGGGGAUCACCCCUGGGGGGACACCCCCAGGUCUGGCGUUUCAGCCCCCCUGCACCCGCCAGCCCUGCAGGCUCAGCAGCACCCUGAGCUCCGGAGGUUCCGGUCUGAGCCCAGCCCUGGAGGGGGUCCAGGGUGCCUGGGGACGGGGGGACAGGGGUGACAGAGGUGACAGAGGUGACAGGAGCCCCAGCUCCACCCUCCGAGCGCCGCCUGCCCAGGGCCGUGCAGACAGAACUCGCCCCCAGCAGCAAAUCCUGCCUGCCUGGCCUCCCACACGCCACAAUCCUGGAUGGAAACCAAAACCUGGACCUUUACACCCAUAAUCUCACUGCUGAGAUCCUCCAGCUCCUCAGGCAGGGCUCCGGCCUGCUCCUGUGCUCGGGGCAGCCAGGAAGGAGCUGGGGAAGGACAGGUUGGUGGCAGCACAGCCAGGUGAGCUCCCUGCCAGCAGCAUUCCCUGCUGGAGCCCUGGUGCCAGAGGCACUGAACCUUCCCAGGCUCCCUGACUGCAAACUGUGGUGUGAGAAGGUGAGACCAGGCAGGGGGACAACCUGAGAGGGGCUGGCAGAGGGAAAGGACAGAGUCUGGCACUAAAGGUCUCUGCAGCUGCCCCACACCUGGGGAUUCCCAAUGGAAAUGGCCUCGGAGGGGCUGGUGAGGGAAAUGCAACCAGAUCCUGGGCAUGAGAAUCAUGGAAUGGUUUGGGCUGGAAAAGCCCCCUGAGCCCAUCAGGCCAAGCUGUCCCCAGCUGUCCCCAGCACUGCCAAGGCCACCACUGACCACGUCCCCAAGUGCCACAUGCACACGGCUGUUAAAUCCCUCCAGGAAUGGGGACUCCCCCCCUUCCCUGAGCAGCCGUGCCAGGGCUGCAGCCCUUUCCAAGAAGGAAUUUUCCUAAUAUUCCACCCAAACCUCCCCUGGCACAGCCUGAGGCCGUUCCCCCUCCUUUCCAUGUUCUCUGGGAGCAGAGCCCGACCCCCCUGGCUGCCCCCUCCUGUCAGGGACAUCUUGGGAAUGAGGUCUCUCCCCCCUCCAAGCCUCCUUUUCUCCAGGGUGAGUGCCCCCAGCUCCCUCAGCCUCCCCUGCUGCUCCAGACCCUUUCCAGUUCCAUUCCUGUCUCUGGACAUGCUCCAGCCCUUCAAUGUCCUUCUUUUCCCGAGGGAGAGGCACAAAGCUGCCCCAGGACUGGAGGUGCCUCAGCAAUCCCAGCACAGGGGGCUGUGCCCUGGGCCUGUAGCCACGCUGUGGCUGGAACAAGCUGGGGGCUGUUGCCCACCUGGGCACACCUGGACGCUCUGGCAGGGCUGUUGUGGAGCAUCCAGCUCCGGGCAGGCAGAGCCUGGGGCUCUGGGUGUGGGUGUGGAGCCCUGUGGGUCCCAUGGCCUCGGGACAGUAGUCACGGGCAGGGCUCAAGCCCAUGCUGCCUGCACUGCCCGGGCCCUGCUCCCUCUCAGAAUUCCCAGCUGGAGCCCUGGGAACAGCCAGGGGCAGGCAGAUACUGCAGGAGGUCACACUCCCCACAAGAGCGUGGAGGCCACCAGGAUGGAGCCGUUUCUCCUGUCUUUGGUGAUUUGGUGGCUGGGACAAGCAGAGGAGGAUGCACCGUGUGACUCCUGCCUGGAAAGGAACAGCAGGGCAGGUACUGCUGUGUGUCCCCCAGCAACAGAAAUCCACGGAUGGGGCACUGAGGAUGAGGAGGUGAUGCUGGACAGGGGUGAUGGGCAGUGGGAACACAGGAGAUGGUCACUGCUGGGGGAACACCCGUCUGAACAAGCUGAAGAUCCCCACACCAGGAAUGCUGCACUUCAAGUGACCAACCUCGGACAAGGAGAUCCAGGGCCCAGCCAGCUACUGCUGCUGGCUGGGAUUUAUGUGCCUCAAAGGACCUUCAGGACUCCCGUAGGAGCUGCUGGGCUGGGCCAGGCCAUGGACAUGGGAACCUCCAGCCAUGGAUGUGUCCCCCAUGUGGGUGACAAGGCGUGGGAGAUCCCCAGAGAGCCUUGGAAGACCAAACCUUCCCCACGGAAAGCUGGAAGCAGCUCCCCAGCUCAGACCUGAGCCCACCGUGUCCCUGCAUCCCUGCACCCCAUUUCCACCAGUGCAUCCCGAGAGGAACAGCACAAGGGCUUGAGCAGGGGCCAGGCUGUGUUCCAUCAGCUCCUGGCAAUCCCCAGCACGGAGCCUCUGGAGCCAGAAGCUGCAUCUGUAUCUCUGGUUAAUAGCCCUCAAUCAAUUUCUCUCCCACAAAUUUGCCUAAUGGCUUUUUAAAAUCCCUUUAAAAUCAACUUGGGCUGCUGCAAACAUCCUCUGGCAACGAAUUCCGCCACGUAUCACACCAAACACUCACCCCAAGGAACAGUCAAAGAUUUCCCUCCUCCGGGUGUGUUCCAUUGGGCUUCCCAGCUGUCACCCGGUGUGGAAAGAGCAGGCAGGGCAGGUGUGCUCUGCUGUGUGCUCCCCAGCACACCAGGGGGGAGCUGGAGAAGGAGGGGAGGUGGGGAUGGUGAGGAGCCUCCCCCCGUGCCCUCCCCACGUCCCCAGCCGGGGUGCUCUCCCAGCUGAGUAACUGGUUUCACAUGAAAGCUCGUCCACACCUCUGCCACCCCUCCCUGUGCCACCAGAGCCAGCACUGUAGCCCAACCACCCAGAAACUCCAGCGGCAUCAGCAAGCUCUGCCAAGCCAUUGUUCAUCGCUUUUCAGGGGUGCUGGAGGUGAUGAAAGGCAGUUCCACGAUGCAGCCACGCCAGGAGGCGGUCACAGGAGCGCCGUGGGGAGCUGGAGUCGGCCGAGGCUGGGAGGUGGUCACAGAGCGCUGCAGGGGCUGUGGAGAUGGGAAAGGUGCCUGGGUGUGGCGUGCGGUUUGUGUUUGGUUGCAAUAUUUUUAUCCCUUGUCCUUGAACUUAUUCCCAGACUUCACUGUGAUAAGAGCCAGGGGUUGACUUCCCUUCCAGCCCUGCCUGGCACGCAUGGGACAAGGUCACCCGCCGUGGGAGCUCGUGGCACCUGGCACGGGCACAGGGUGCGAUGGUGUGACGGGGCUGGAUGGGUGCCGGGAGGUGGCCGUGGCCCAGGGGGUGAUGAUGGGGGAGCUUUGGCCAGGCCAGCUCGGGGUCACCCUGGCAGGGGGGACUUACCCAGGUGGGCUCAGACACGGGGCUGCAGCUGGAGGCACCAUCUCCCCUGGUGCCGCAGUCAGAGCAGCCCAGGGGGUGGCCCAGCGGGACCUGGUGGUGGCCCACGCCAGGAAACAGCUCCUGUUGCCUUCCCCUGUGCCGGGCCGGGAUGUUGUGCGCCAUACCUGGUGUGCACUUCCCGUGUCACCUCGCCCAGAGCCGCCCUCGCCGUGGUCCUCUCGGUUAACCGCGGCGCCCAGAGCAGCCGCAGCCCGGAGGGGGAGGACGAGCCCAAACCCCGCCAGGCGCCAGUAGAGCACGGAAGAAGGGUGGGACAACGAACGGUCGGGCUAAAAGUAACUGGAGACGGCCAGAAAAAGAAAAAAAAAAAAAAA
rnacentral:lncRNA from 1 species